rnacentral:tRNA from 1 species
UAAUAAUUAGUUUAAUUAAAAUUUCAAUUUUGGGAAUUGAAGAUAUAUAAUUUAUAUUAUUAA